UCUAAUCACUUAAAGUGAGAAACAUUUAUUAACUGAACCCUGCUUUUGGUUUUGUAUCCUCCACCAUUUUGAUUUCAUUCGAUCAGCCAGAAAGUAGGCAAUAUAUCAAAUACUAAAUAAUUAUGCAUUUUCCAUGGAAAAUCGAAACAAAAGUCGCCGCUGGCAGACGACAACUCGCACUGGAAGCUGCAGCUUUCACAAUGGCCACAGCGCAAAUCAGCCGGAUCAUAAUUUAUUGGAGCCAAAAUGGGUGGAACUGCCCACCGGCGAGCUGUGGGCCACAAAAUGGACAAAAGGCCGUGGCUUUCAAAAGGGUUGUUAGCUGAGUUUUCUGCCAGCCAAGUAAGCCAAAAUCUUUUCCCAGUGCAUUGGCGGAGAUCGAGGAAAGUCGCCCUGCACGCUGGAAAAGGCGGAAGUUCAUUAUUGUCAGUGAUUAAUGACAAGAAGCGCGGAUGGAUCCUGGAACUGGGAUAUGGCCGAUAGCAGUGCAUUUGACUCUGGUUCUCGGCCACAUAAGUUAGCUGUUGCUGUCAGCUGGCCCUACAGUUUGGGCCAGAAGCCGCCUGGAUGGAAGCGCAAAAAAUUCGGAAGCCAGGACUCGCAGACCCCGAGGGCGGUC